AUCACUUCUUGGCCUUUGGGCUAAGAUAAAGUGUAGUAUCUGUUCUUAUCAGUUUAAUAUCUGAUAUGUCAUCUAUCUUAUGACAAUAUAUUAAAUGGAUUUUUGGAGCUCAGAGUUGGAAUAGGAGCUUGCUCUGUCCACUCCACACAUUGACCUGGUAUUGCAGUACUUCUAGGAAUGGUGCAUCCCUA
rnacentral:snRNA from 1 species